rnacentral:rRNA from 1 species
GACGAACGCUGGCGGCGUGCCUAAUACAUGCAAGUCGAGCGGACAGAAGGGAGCUUACUCCCGGAAGUCAGCGGCGGACGGGUGAGUAACACGUGGGCAACCUACCCUGUAGAUCGGGAUAACAUCGAGAAAUCGGUGCUAAUACCGGAUAAUCAUUUGAAGUGCAUGCUUCGAAUGUAAAAGAUGGCUCCGGCUAUCACUACGGGAUGGGCCCGCGGCGCAUUAGCUAGUUGGUAAGGUAAUGGCUUACCAAGGCAACGAUGCGUAGCCGACCUGGGAGGGUGAUCGGCCACACUGGGACUGAGACACGGCCCAGACUCCUACGGGAGGCAGCAGUAGGGAAUCUUCCGCAAUGGACGAAAGUCUGACGGAGCAACGCCGCGUGAGUGAUGAAGGUUUUCGGAUCGUGAAGCUCUGUUGUUAGGGAAGAACAAGUGCCGUUUGAAUAAGGCGGCACCUUGACGGUACCUAACCAGAAAGCCACGGCUAACUACGUGCCAGCAGCCGCAGUAAGAC